AUCUAAACGGGAUUUUUUUUUGGGGGGGUGAUAUGGUUUGGCUGUGUCCCCACCCAAAUCUCAUCUUGAAUUCCCAUGUGUUGUGGGGGGACCCGGUGGGAGGUAAUUGAAUUAUGGGGGCAGGUCUUUCCUGUGCUGUUCUCGGGAUAGUGAAAAAGUCUCACAAGAUCUGAUGGUUUUAAAAAGGUGAGUUUCCCUGCAUAAUCUCUCUUCUCCUGUCUGGUUCCAUGUGAGAUGUGCCUUUUGCCUUCCGCCAUGAUUGUGAGGCCUCCCCAGCCAUGUGGAACCGCCCAUAGGUGGAAGGGACUUGCCUUGUCUCAGAUGAGACUUUGGACUUCGGACUGUGGACUUUUGAGUUAACACUGAAAUGAAUUAAUGCUGAAAUGAAUUAAGACUUUGGGAGACGGUUGAGAAGCCAUGACUCAUUUUAAAAUGUGAGACAUGCCUUUCACCUUCUGCCAUGAUUGUGAGGCCUCUCCAGCCAUGUGGAACUGUGAACACACAUUGUUCAUCCCCUCAGGAGGACACAGCUUUUGAGAUACCAUCUUGGAAGCAGAGACCAGCCCUCACUAGACACAAACUUCCUGGCACCUUGAUUUUGGACUUCAUAGCCUCUAGAACUGUGAGAAAUAAAUUUUUAUUAUUUAUAAAUUACCCUGUAUUGGAUAUUUUGUUAUAGCAGCACAAAAGGUCUAAGACAAUGACUGAAGGACGGAGCUAUAGGACUCAAAAGACCCUGGUCUUGAAGCCAGAAAGACCUGGCUUUGCCAGUAGCAUGGUAUUUCAAUUAAGUAUGAUUAAACACUCUUCGAGGGAAUAGAAAGGGGAAGGAAGAAUGGAG
rnacentral:lncRNA from 10 species